GACAGAGGGUGCAAACGUUGUUCGGAAUUACUGGGCGUAAAGCGCAUGUAGGCGGCCAAGCAGGUCGGAUGUGAAAUCCCUCGGCUCAACCAAGGAAGUGCAUUCGAAACCGCAUGGCUCGAGUCCCGGGGAGGAAGGUGGAAUUCUCGGUGUAGAGGUGAAAUUCGUAGAUAUCGAGAGGAACACCGGUGGCGAAAGCGGCCUUCUGGACGAGGACUGACGCUGAGAUGCGAAAGCGUGGGGAGCAAACAGG
rnacentral:rRNA from 1 species